rnacentral:lncRNA from 1 species
UGAUAUAUUAAUUUUGGAAAUGAAAAGAAUACUUCUUCGUUAAAGUUAUGACUUUAAGCAUUCUAUAACGAUAUAAUGUAUAUGGGAGACAUAGUCUAUAAACAUGGGAUGGAAAUCUAUAAUGAUAGAUUUUAGGAUAUAAUUGGAUUAUAUCAAGCCCUAAAUAAUAGACAAGAGUUGCUAGGAAGUUUCUCAUAUGAUGAUAAACUUCAAUUAGAAGGAUGACUCUAGUGUGACUAGCAAGUUGCCCUUCUCAAAGGGAACGUACCCUUUGACUCCCAAAGAAAUAAUGCGUAAAUAGAAUCCUUUAUGCAUACGCAUAAAGGUGAUUUAUGUAUUUCAUAUUGUAUGAAAAAAACAUUGAUAUGAGUUGUACCUAGAACGGUACAAGACGAUAUCAGUGCAAGCCCAGGAUCAGAACCAUGGCAACUGUCAAGUGAGUCCUUAAGUAUUUAAGAAAUACUAAAGGAAAGAUUCCUCAAAGAAUGAGGAAGAAUUAGAGUAACGUAAUGGAAGCGUAAAUGUAUUAGAUUAUGAAUCUAAUCCAUCAUUGCAUGUUUCUUCAUUAUGAAUGAAGAGAUAAACAUAUAUCUCUUUAUUAUGACUAAAGAGAUAUUUGGAUGGAAACAUUAAAGUAAUGACUUUAGUAUGUUCCAUUAUGAAUGCAAGGUAUAUUGCCAUAUAGAAGUUUGCAACAAUGUUUGUUUGGAUGGGAAAGUUCAUUUAUGAACUCUCUAUUCGGUUUCCAACCAGAAAGUGUAUCUAGUGUAUCGACACUAUGACACUAAUGGGGCGAUAGCUCAAGCCAGGGAAUCAAGGUCUCAUCAAGGUCCGAACUUAAAUGAGAGACUGAACCACAUGAUUGAGAAUCAUGUAUAAUGGUGACGUCGAUAUUCUCAAGGUUGCUUCUAUGGAUAACAUAUAGAUAUCCAUUGUCUAGGCCUACUACUCAGCCAUUUAUGAAAUGACUACAGAAGAGGUAUCAUCACUGAUGACCAAGCUGAUUGGCUCUAGUGCAAGUGGGAGAUUGUUGGAAAUGUGACCUAAAACCAAUCAUGUGAUGAUGCUUUACGGACAUUUCACAUGUUAAACUAAUCUAGUUUAAUAUAAAGGGCAAAGAUUAUUGUUUGAGCCGUCUCAUAUAAAUGUUAUAUGUUUAAACGAUAAAGUCCAAGGAAUAUGUGAUUGGGAGAAUGUAAUCUAAUGAAGUUAGAUU